rnacentral:rRNA from 1 species
CAGCAGCCGCCGCGGGAAUACAGAGGGUGCGAGCGUUAAUCGGAUUUACUGGGCGUAAAGCGUGCGUAGGCGGCUAAUUGAGUCGGAUGUGAAAUCCCCGAGCUUAACUUGGGAAUUGCAUUCGAUACUGGUUAGCUAGAGUGUGGGAGAGGAUGGUAGAAUUCCAGGUGUAGCGGUGAAAUGCGUAGAGAUCUGGAGGAAUACCGAUGGCGAAGGCAGCCAUCUGGCCUAACACUGACGCUGAGGUACGAAAGCAUGGGGAGCAAACAGGAUUAGAUACCCGCGUAGUCCCUGUCUCUUAUAA